rnacentral:rRNA from 1 species
UAAUACGAAGGGGGCUAGCGUUGCUCGGAAUCACUGGGCGUAAAGCGCACGUAGGCGGAUUCCUAAGUCGGUGGUGAAAUCCUGGAGCUCAACUCCAGAACUGCCUCCGAUACUGAGAGUCUACGAGUCCGGGAGAGGUGAGUGGAACUGCGAGUGUAGAGGUGAAAUUCGUAGAUAUUCGCAAGAACACCAGUGG